GACGAACGCUGGCGGCGUGCUUAACACAUGCAAGUCGAACGGUAAGGCCCUUCGGGGUACACGAGUGGCGAACGGGUGAGUAACACGUGGGUGAUCUGCCCUGCACUUCGGGAUAAGCCUGGGAAACUGGGUCUAAUACCGGAUAGGACCACUGCCUGCAUGGGUGGUAGUGGAAAGCUUUUGCGGUGUGGGAUGGGCCCGCGGCCUAUCAGCUUGUUGGUGGGGGGAUGGCCUACCAAGGCGACGACGGGUAGCCGGCCGGAGAGGGUGACCGGCCACACUGGGACUGAGACACGGCCCAGACUCCUACGGGAGGCAGCAGUGGGGAAUAUUGCACAAUGGGCGCAAGCCUGAUGCAGCGACGCCGCGUGAGGGAUGACGGCCUUCGGGUUGUAAACCUCUUUCAGCACCGACGAAGCGCAAGUGACGGUAGGUGCAGAAGAAGGACCGGCCAACUACGUGCCAGCCGCCGCCGUAA
rnacentral:rRNA from 1 species